rnacentral:misc_RNA from 1 species
UAGACUGGCUGCGCUUCUCCAGAGCCUCUAUCUCUCUUCUUCUUGUUCAGUUGUAGGCUGCAUUUCUUGCUUAAUUUCUUUCUUUGUGUUAGUCUUUCUCCUGCAUUAUUUCUUGGUUUCUUUCUCUUUCUCUCUCUGUUUCUGCUUGUUUCGCCUAUCAGAAACUGUAGGAAAGAAAGAACAGCAAUAAUGCCUGCCGUAGGAGGGAUAGCCACUGGUAAUGGCAAAAGGGAGUACCCUGGGAACCUUACCCUUUAUGUGACUGUAACAUGUAUCGUUGCAGCCAUGGGUGGUUUGAUCUUUGGUUACGAUAUUGGGAUUUCUGGUGGAGUUACGUCCAUGGAUUCCUUCUUGAAAAAGUUCUUUCCUUCAGUCUACCGGAAGAAGGAAGAGGACUCAACCUCUAAUCAGUACUGCCAAUACGAUAGCCAGACACUGACCAUGUUCACGUCCUCACUAUACUUGGCUGCUUUAGUGGCUUCUCUUGUGGCCUCCUGGAUUACCCGUAAAUUUGGAAGGAAACUGUCUAUGCUUUUUGGUGGCGUGCUCUUCUUUGCUGGUGCCAUCAUCAAUGGCUUGGCUAAAGCAGUCUGGAUGCUGAUUCUUGGUAGAAUUUUGCUCGGUUUCGGUAUUGGUUUUGCCAAUCAGUCUGUGCCACUCUACCUCUCUGAGAUGGCUCCGUACAGAUACAGGGGAGCUCUUAACAUUGGUUUCCAGUUAUCAAUCACAAUCGGUAUCCUUGUAGCCAAUGUUCUCAACUAUUUCUUUGCCAAGAUCCAUGGUGGUUGGGGAUGGAGAUUGAGUCUGGGAGGUGCUAUGGUGCCUGCCCUUAUAAUCACGGUUGGAUCACUAGUCCUGCCAGACACACCAAACUCUAUGAUUGAACGUGGCCAGUACGAGGAGGCUAGGUCCCAACUGAAGAGAGUUCGUGGUGUUCAUGAUGUGGAUGAGGAGUUUAAUGACCUUGUUCUUGCUAGUGAAGAAUCAAAGAAAGUUGAGCAUCCUUGGAGAAAUUUGUUGCAGAGGAAAUACAGGCCUCACCUUACCAUGGCUAUAGCAAUCCCAUUCUUUCAGCAACUCACUGGCAUCAAUGUUAUCAUGUUCUACGCUCCUGUUUUGUUCAAUACGAUUGGUUUCGGCAACGAUGCUUCCCUCAUGUCUGCUGUGAUCACUGGUUUGGUUAAUGUUUUUGCAACCAUGGUUUCAAUCUAUGGUGUUGAUAAGUGGGGGAGGAGGUUGCUUUUCCUUGAGGGUGGAGUUCAAAUGUUGAUAUGCCAGGCAGUGGUUGCAGCUUGUAUUGGUGCUAAGUUUGGAGUAGAUGGACAUCCAGGUGAUUUGCCCAAGUGGUAUGCCAUUGUUGUGGUGCUUUUCAUUUGCAUCUAUGUUGCUGGAUUUGCCUGGUCUUGGGGUCCUCUUGGCUGGUUGGUUCCCAGUGAAAUUUUCCCACUCGAAAUCCGAUCUGCUGCUCAGAGUGUCAAUGUUUCAGUGAACAUGCUCUUUACAUUUAUAGUAGCUCAAGUUUUCCUAACAAUGCUUUGCCACUUAAAAUUUGGGCUUUUCCUCUUCUUUGCAUUCUUUGUGUUGGUGAUGUCCAUCUUUGUUUAUUAUUUCUUGCCUGAGACAAAGGGAAUUCCAAUUGAAGAGAUGGGACAAGUCUGGAAAUCACACUGGUACUGGUCUAGAUACGUCACUGAUGAACAUUUUCCCAAUGGAACCCUUGAGAUGGGCAAGGGAGGCCAAGGUCCCAAGACUGUGUGAUUAAGCCUGGAUUUAUUUAGCUGCUGUUUUUAUUUUAUUUCAUUUUAUUUUACCAUUUUAGGCUUAGCAGUACAUACUACUGAUAAAAAAAUGCCACGGAUUAUAUGAAAUGGUACUGAAUAUGUGUCAAAGUGCCAGUAUUUUACUUGGAAAUUGAUAAUGUGGACAGCUUCGUUAUAGCCAAUUUCAAUUUCAUACAAUAAGUAAUUUGUUUCCAUAAGUAUAUUUACUUGCUUAUUUUUGUGCUGAAAGCUCUAGUUUUUGGAACUCUUCACAUUAAUUAAUAGAUAUUUAAUUAAAAACUUUAGUUUUUGUGUUGGAUGAUUUGAGAUUGUGUUUGAUAUCGUAUUUAAUAAGAGUAUGCUUAGCAUUGCUGUUAGAAUUAUAGGUAAAAAUAAUACAUUUUAAGUGUAUUAAUCAUAGAGUAUUAAAAAAAAAGUUAAAAUUAAAUUUAUAAAUUUUAAUCGUACUAACAUUAAAAUAACAAAAUAGUUUCUUCC